rnacentral:sRNA from 1 species
GGGCUGGUUUAGCCUGUGCAGCAGCCUUCAGGCACCUGUGGCCGGGAGCAGAGGCACACAGAGCAGUGGGCCAGCAGUGACGGGCUCCCCGAACUGAGCAGAUCCAAGUCAAGCUAAACGUUUCCUUUGCAUUAGUGGCCAUGAAACUCCCUUUCACAAAGAUGGGUUGACAAAAGCUGUGAGGCUGUUUCCUAUAGUCGAUCCUGAUAGAAGGGCCUCCCGCACACAGUGGGAGGGGCCUGGGGCCAAGGCCAGCACAUGCUCAGGCCUGCCAACAUCUUAAACCUGGGCCUUCUGCCUCCCCUGGGCGUUGCCCUGCCCAGCACAUCCUGCAGCCUUCAGAGUCACCCUCUGAAUCCACAGAGGAGCUGCACCUUGUAGCCCAAGCCAACAUGGCCCAGGCCAGGCUGGUUCAAAGGUGAUGAGUCUGACCAGUGGUUCUUAAAGUGGGGUCCCUGGGUCCUAGCAGUGAACCCUCAGAACUGGGCCAUCCUAAACCUUUAAUAAUUACGGGCUAAUGACAAUGUGCCUGAACUUGGCAAUUAUCUUUUAAUUUUAUGAGCGUUAUAUUUUACAGGAGAGUCAUAGAAUCAUCUAGAACAUUCCCCACAUGUUGAUGCCUGUAGUUGAGGCCUGGGGUCUUACAUGAUUGGUUAUUUUCCACACUCACAGUACAGUGUGAACAGGAUUGUGAUUCCUGGCUUUGCUGCUUUUCCACAUACCUCCAUGAAAUGCGUGAACACAGGUGCGCAGAUUGUCGUGUGCAGAAAAGGGCAGUGUGUGCAAGCACUCGGGAUGGCCUGAACUAGAAGAUUCUCCACAUGACCGAUUCAGUCGUCUCUCAUUGUGUGUGUGUGUGCGUGUGCUUGUGUGUACACAUGUGAUUGUGCGUGUGCCUGUGAGUGCUGGCUGCUGCUAGAAUCUGAAGCCCUGCAUUUGCGGGUUUUGAGGCUCUCACGCUGCUCCCUGCCGCCCCUGGCAUCCUCCCUUUGGGAGGCCAAGAUGUUUUCUGUCCCUCCCAGCAGUCCUCCCUGAAAACGUCUGUGCUCAUUGUUGUGUUCCCUCAGGCCCUGGCUCUGAUGAUGUCAUCAUGAAUGAUGAUAUUUAAUGAGACACCCCUCUCAGGUCAGAUGAAUGCAUUUUAAUAGGGAUUUUCUGCAAAAUAUCUGAACCCCAAAUACCCCAAGUUGUUGAUGGAACUGUAGUCCAGCUAGUUGUUGCCUUGAGACGGGAAAAGUAAGUAAAAGUGCCUUGGUCAAAGAAGCUGAGGCAGUGUUCCUUGCAGUAGUCUCCCCUUGGGAGUUAGGAAGGUGUGUUGCAUAGUGAAGGAUCUGACAUGUCCUGCAGUCACAAGUCCAGGUUUCAUCUCGGUUUCUCUGCCCUCCAGCCUCAUCCAUGGGACAACUUCCAUAUCCUGGAAGCCCCUCUGGGAAACGCUGCCUUCAGCCCAUGAAGUCGCUCCGCUGUGCAGUCGUGGGCCUGUAGUAGGCAGCUGGAGCGUGGACCGUUGGGCUUUUGUAAUUAAACAGCUUUUAUUGUGAUAAAAUAUUUAUAAUGUAUAAGUGACCAUUUUAACCAUUUUAAGUGCACAGUUUCAUGGCGUUAAGAACGUUCAUAUUGAUGUGCAGCCAUCACCACCCUCCAUCUCCAGAACUUUCUCGUCGUCCCAGAUGGAAACUCUGUCCCCAUCCCCUCCUUCUCCUGGCACUCGCCACCACUCUGCUUUUUUCUAUGAAUGUGACAACUCUAGGGCCCUCACGUGAGGUGAGCCAUGCAGUACAUGUCCUCUUGUGUCUGGCUGCCUUCACCGAGCACUAUGCCCUCGAGGUGCAUCCGCGCUGCAGUGCAUGUCAGAACUCCCUUUCCAAGCCUGAGUGUGGACGGGCCACACCGCGUUCAUCCCUCCAACCGUCAGUGGACCUUUCGGUGCCUUCCAGCUUUUGGCUGCAGUCAAUGAGGCUGCUCUGGGCCUUGGUGAACAACCAUGGCUUUUGCCCUCUGGCAGCCCCCUGCGGGUGGCGCUUUGCUCUGCCAGGCAGGAGAUUGGCGGUGCCAUGUUGGUGCUUUUGGUGAAGACCAGAGUGUUUUCAUUGCUUGCCAUUGAGGAGUGUUUUUAUUUAUGGAAACGAUAUACUGUCUGUGAGUAUCCUGCUCUAAAAAUGGAUAACCAGGUCCUGCCCGAUGGGUGUUUACAAAUAUUUGCCGUAUGGAAGUCAUGAGGGGACUCCUGGGUCACUUACAGAGGGAACAGCCUAUAGGAGGGGUGCUUGGCAGGUGGUGGCUGGAGUCCCAAGUUCCUGCGCUUCCCGCCAGGCUGCAAGGGUCAAACUGACAUCUUCGGGACGAGCACAGGACAUCAUCCUCCAGCUCAGUCCCCUUUGCUAAAGACACACUCAGGAGGGGACAGCACCUUUUGAAACCUAACUCCUGCAAAGGGGUAGAUAUGUAAACUUGGGGUAGCCUUGUGUCCUGGGAGCUAGGCUGACAAAUAUCUUUUUAAAGAUCAUCUAACUGCUGGGGAGGCUGUGUCCUUGAAGAUGAUUUACUUCUUCUAACUGGGUUUCAUUUUUCUCUCCUAGCUUAUGUUCCUGAGGAAGAAUUGAAGGCAGCAGAAAUAGAUGAAGAGCACGUGGAGGAUGACGGGCUGUCUUUGGACAUUCAGGAAAGUGAGUACAUGUGCAAUGAAGAGACGGAGAUCAAAGAGGCGCAGAGCUACCAGAACUCCCCAGUCAGCUCUGUGACUAACCAGGACGCCGGCUACGGGUCGCCCUUCAGUGAGAGCAGCGACCAGCUAGCCCAUUUCAAAGGCUCUUCCUCUCGAGAAGAGAAGGAGGAUCCGCAGUGUCCCGACAGCGUCUCGUACCCCCAGGACAGCCUGGCACAGAUCAAAGCUGUGUAUGCAAACUUGUUCUCCGAGUCCUGCUGGUCCAGCUUAGCUCUGGAUUUAAAGAAGUCGGGUUCCACCACCAGCACCAACGAUGCCAGCCAGAAGGAGAGCUCCGCCCCCACCCCCACACCCCCCACCUGCCCCGUCAGCACCACUGGCCCCACCACGAGCACGCCCAGCACCAGCUGCAGCUCCAGCACCACCCACAGCAGUACCACCAGUACCAGCAGCAGCUCCGGGUACGACUGGCACCAGGCUGCACUGGCCAAGACGCUGCAGCAGACGUCCUCGUACGGGCUGCUUCCUGAGCCCAGCCUGUUCAGCACCGUGCAGCUCUACCGCCAGAACAACAAGCUCUACGGCUCCGUCUUCACGGGCGCCAGCAAGUUCCGGUGCAAAGACUGCAGUGCCGCGUACGACACGCUGGUGGAACUGACGGUGCACAUGAACGAGACAGGCCACUACCGCGACGACAACAGGGACAAGGACUCCGAGAAGACCAAGCGGUGGUCCAAGCCCAGGAAGCGCUCCCUGAUGGAGAUGGAGGGGAAGGAGGACGCCCAGAAGGUGCUGAAGUGCAUGUACUGUGGACACUCCUUUGAGUCCUUGCAGGACCUCAGCGUCCACAUGAUCAAAACCAAGCAUUACCAGAAAGUGCCUCUGAAGGAGCCAGUGCCAGCCAUCACCAAACUGGUCCCCUCCACCAAAAAGCGGGCGCUUCAGGACCUGGCGCCCCCCUGCUCCCCUGAGCCAGCAGGAAUGGCCGCAGAGGUGGCCCUGAGUGAGUCAGCCAAGGAUCAGAAAGCAGCGAACCCGUACGUCACGCCCAAUAACCGCUACGGCUACCAGAAUGGCGCCAGCUACACCUGGCAGUUUGAGGCCCGCAAGGCGCAGAUCCUCAAGUGCAUGGAGUGUGGCAGCUCCCACGACACGCUGCAGCAGCUCACCGCCCACAUGAUGGUCACCGGGCACUUCCUGAAAGUGACCACCUCGGCUUCUAAGAAGGGCAAGCAGUUGGUGCUGGACCCUGUGGUGGAAGAGAAGAUCCAGUCCAUCCCACUACCGCCCACCACCCACACGCGGCUGCCGGCCUCCAGCAUCAAAAAGCAGCCCGACUCUCCCGCAGGGUCCACGACUUCUGAAGAAAAGAAAGAGCCGGAGAAGGAGAAGCCGCCCGUGGCUGGCGACGCGGAGAAGAUCAAGGAGGAGAGUGAGGACAGCUUGGAGAAAUUUGAGCCCAGCACCCUGUACCCGUACCUGCGUGAGGAGGACCUGGACGACAGCCCCAAGGGAGGGCUGGACAUUCUCAAGUCCCUGGAGAAUACCGUCUCCACGGCCAUUAGCAAAGCUCAGAAUGGUGCGCCCUCAUGGGGUGGCUACCCCAGCAUCCACGCAGCCUACCAGCUCCCGGGCACCGUGAAGCCACUGCCGGCGGCCGUGCAGAGCAUGCAGGUGCAGCCGUCCUAUGCUGGCGGCGUGAAGUCGCUGUCUUCCGCCGAGCACAACGCCCUCCUGCACUCCCCAGGGAGCCUCACGCCCCCGCCGCACAAGAGCAACGUGUCUGCCAUGGAGGAGCUGGUGGAGAAGGUCACGGGCAAGGUCAACAUCAAGAAGGAGGAGAGACCCCCUGAGAAGGAGAAGAGCUCCCCGGCCAAGGCUGCGUCCCCCAUAGCAAAAGAGAAUAAAGAUUUCCCUAAAACGGAGGAAGUCAGCGGCAAACCACAGAAGAAGGGCCCUGAGGCUGAGACUGGGAAGGCCAAAAAGGAGGGACCGCUGGAUGUUCACACCCCAAAUGGCACAGAGCCUCUCAAAGCAAAGGUCACCAACGGCUGUAACAACCUGGGGAUCAUCACGGACCACUCACCGGAGCCUUCCUUCAUCAACCCGCUGAGCGCUUUGCAGUCCAUCAUGAACACCCACCUGGGCAAGGUGUCCAAGCCCGUGAGUCCCUCGCUGGACCCGCUGGCGAUGCUGUACAAGAUCAGCAACAGCAUGCUGGACAAGCCGGUGUACCCCGCCACCCCUGUGAAGCAGGCCGAUGCCAUCGACCGCUACUACUAUGAAAACAGCGACCAGCCCAUUGACUUAACCAAGUCCAAGAACAAGCCGCUGGUGUCCAGCGUGGCUGAUUCGGUGGCAUCACCUCUGCGGGAGAGCGCACUCAUGGACAUCUCCGACAUGGUGAAAAACCUCACAGGCCGCCUGACGCCCAAGUCCUCCACGCCCUCCACAGUUUCAGAGAAGUCCGAUGCUGAUGGCAGCAGCUUUGAGGAGGCGUUGGAUGAGCUGUCACCGGUCCACAAGAGGAAGGGCCGGCAGUCCAACUGGAACCCGCAGCACCUGCUCAUCCUGCAGGCCCAGUUCGCCUCGAGCUUGCGGGAGACCACAGAGGGCAAGUACAUCAUGUCGGACCUGGGCCCGCAGGAGAGGGUGCACAUCUCGAAGUUUACCGGGCUCUCCAUGACCACCAUCAGCCACUGGCUGGCCAAUGUGAAGUACCAGUUGAGGAGGACAGGGGGAACGAAAUUCCUAAAGAACCUGGACACAGGGCAUCCUGUUUUCUUUUGCAACGAUUGUGCCUCUCAGUUCAGAACUGCUUCUACAUACAUAAGUCAUUUGGAGACACACUUGGGCUUCAGCCUGAAGGAUCUCUCCAAGCUGCCAUUCAAUCAGAUUCAAGAACAGCAGAAUGUUUCGAAAGUCCUCACCAACAAAACUCUGGGCCCACUGGGGGCCACCGAGGAAGACUUGGGCUCCACAUUCCAAUGUAAGCUCUGCAACCGGACUUUUGCGAGCAAGCACGCAGUCAAACUGCACCUUAGUAAGACCCACGGCAAGUCUCCCGAGGACCACCUGAUCUAUGUGACUGAGUUGGAGAAACAGUAGCGUCCAGGUAUGCAAGAGACCGCGGAACAUUGCACUAAACGUCGUCGAGCUGCACUAGGCCUGGCCUGAGCCUCUGAAAUCAGUCUUUCCUUUGUUGCUGGCCCGCCUCUCUGGACCUUGGUUUUCUUACACAUAUUUUGUAUAUUUAUAUGCUCUCUGUCCGAUCUGUGCAUGUUAUUUUUCUUUUUCCGUGAGUCAAAGUCUGACCUUUAUUUUCAACAUCUGUUCUUGAUGUUAAGCUAUCUUUUGUAGGAAAUAGUGGGGCACACUACUCAGAGACAUUAUUUAGCAGUAAAGAAAGACACAAAUAACAAUGAUAAAAAGACAUCCUAAAAUGGUGAAGUUGCCAUGACAAUAAAGGUCAUAGAACCUGGUAGUGUCAAAUUUAACCCUUUGAGGACUGUAAUUGCAUUUCUGUGCCUUUCACUUGAAAAAAAAAAAAAGAAAAAAGAAAAAAAGGCUUAAAGGCAUUUCAUUCAGAUCAAAAGCUGUGUCAGACACAAAACUUAUUUAAUAAUUAAAAAAUGAGCUUUUAUAUGCAGAACUGGUUUGUGAGGAAACAUGCAUGCAGCUGUGGGAAGAUAGAAAGCUGUCUAGGACUCACGGGAUUCGGAAGCCACACCUCUACAUGUCUAAAACAAAAAACAACAACAACAGAUACCCCACUCGCCACUAUGCCCAAACCCUCUGGAUGCUGAAAAAUGCCACUUUCGGCAAAAAAAAGUAUGCAAGCUAUUAUUUAAAAAUGUGUAAAAAUGCUAUUUCUUUUUUCCUGUAAAAUAUUGCAGUUUAUAGUUAUUUACAAAUGUAAGCUUUGGUACAAGCUGACCUUUCUAUAGCGUGCUGCAUUGGUAAAUGAAAAAAAAUGGGGCAAACGUUGGAGUCCUUUCCUUGUAAAUUGCCAGCAUCAGCUUAAAAAUUCCUGUAUGUUACAUAUCGUACCAUUUUAAUCUCUUCAACUUUCUUUGUACCUUCUGGCUGUAUGCUUUCUCUUUUAACUUUUUAUAUUGUCAUUUUAUAUUAAAUUUCUGUGUAUAUAAUGUAAAACCACAAUUUUUGAAUAAAAUUUAGUUCCUGCAGCUUGAUUUAAAUAGAGGACUUUUACUGGCACCUGCAUCUCUCCAGAUGCAUGUACUCAGAGGGACUGUCAGACAAAAAUAAAUACAUAAAAACAAAGCAAGCAGUGCACUAUUAAUUAUACAUUUUGAUGUUCUAUCAUUAAUAUUGUACAGUACAUUUUGGUUCACACAAUUAAAUCCACUGUUUUCUCAGAUGUAAAAUAAACCCACAUGCAGUUCUUGAUUU